rnacentral:rRNA from 1 species
GACGAACGCUGGCGGCGUGCUUAACACAUGCAAGUCGAACGGAAAGGCCCUGCUUUUGUGGGGUGCUCGAGUGGCGAACGGGUGAGUAACACGUGAGUAACCUGCCCUUGACUUUGGGAUAACUUCAGAAAACUGGGGCUAAUACCGGAUAGGAGCUCCUGCUCCAUGGGGGGCGUUAGAGAGUUUCGGCGGUUGGGGAUGGACUCGCGGCUUAUCAGCUUGUUGGUGGGGUAGUGGCUUACCAAGGCUUUGACGGGUAGCCGGCCUGAGAGGGUGACCGGCCACAUUGGGACUGAGAUACGGCCCAGACUCCUACGGGAGGCAGCAGUGGGGAAUAUUGCACAAUGGGCGGAAGCCUGAUGCAGCAACGCCGCGUGCGGGAUGACGGCCUUCGGGUUGUAAACCGCUUUCGCCUGUGACGAAGCGUGAGUGACGGUAAUGGGUAAAGAAGCACCGGCUAACUACGUG